UCGAAUGGAAUAUUGAAUCAAUUUCGUUAUAUGCCCGAUUAAGAGCAUCUUUUUAUUGUAUCAAUAUCAAUCAUAUCAAUUACAUUUAAAUUUGAUUAUUAGGUCGAUUUGAUCUUAUUAUGUUCAAUAUAUACUUGAAGCAUACAAAUAUGAAUCAUUCUUUACAGCAUCAUCUUCCAACAAUCAAGCAUCAUCCAUACUUCAGUUAUUAGAUAUUCAAUCAGCGGCUUCAAUCAUUCGUGACAAUGGCAGAUAGAAAUGUCACUUUGAUCAAAGACUUAGACAACAUGAGGGAUGAUUAAACACUAAAAGUGUGUAUUAUCCGGCUGUGGAGAUCAUUAUCCAAAGUUAACCCUAGUAUUGUCAAAGCACUUGAAAUGAUAUUAAUGGAUGAGAUGGGUACAAAAAUCCGAGCAAGUGUCUACCCAAGAGAUACACUUUUAAAACUGAAAGAAGAUAAAGCAAUUUACAUCCGAUCCCCCACUAUAGCUCCAAACAGAUACAUUUUUAAAAUAAGUGAUGUACUCUCCAAGUUAAACUUGCAUGGACGAAAAACUGUUAAUGAUUGUCUAACUUUUUAGUCCAAAACAACAUAUGACUUUUGU